rnacentral:rRNA from 1 species
CCACGGUGAAUACGUUCCCGGGCCUUGUACACACCGCCCGUCACACCAUGGGAGUGGGUUGCAAAAGAAGUAGGUAGCUUAACCUUCGGGAGGGCGCUUACCACUUUGUGAUUCAUGACUGGGGUGAAGUCGUAACAAGGUAACCGUAGGGGAACCUGCGGUUGGAUCACCUCCUUACCUUAAAGAAGC